GACAGAGGGGGCAAGCGUUGCUCGGAAUUACUGGGCGUAAAGGGCGCGUAGGCGGGAUGGCAAGUCGGUCGUGAAAUCCUUCGGCUCAACCGAAGAACGUCGAUCGAUACUGCUGUUCUUGAGGGUUGCAGAGGAGACUGGAAUUCCCGGUGUAGCGGUGAAAUGUGUAGAGAUCGGGGAGGAACACCGGUGGCGAAGGCGGGUCUCUGGGCAAUUCCUGACGCUGAGGCGCGAAAGCGUGGGUAGCAAACAGG
rnacentral:rRNA from 1 species